GCUGACGAGUGGCGCACGGGUGCGUAACGCGUAUACAAUCUACCUUUUGCUGAGGGAUAGCCCAGAGAAAUUUGGAUUAAUACCUCAUGGUAUUAUUGAUAGGCAUCUAUUAAUAAUUAAAGGUUACGGCAAAAGAUGAGUAUGCGUCCCAUUAGCUAGUUGGUGAAGUAACGGUUCACCAAGGCAACGAUGGGUAGGGGUCCUGAGAGGGAGAUCCCCCACACUGGUACUGAGACACGGACCAGACUCC
rnacentral:rRNA from 1 species